rnacentral:rRNA from 1 species
GACGAACGCUGGCGGCGUGCUUAACACAUGCAAGUCGAACGGAAAGGCCCUGCUUUUGUGGGGUGCUCGAGUGGCGAACGGGUGAGUAACACGUGAGUAACCUGCCCUUGACUUUGGGAUAACUUCAGGAAACUGGGGCUAAUACCGGAUAGGAGCUCCUGCUGCAGGGUGGGGGUUGGAAAGUUUCGGCGGUUGGGGAUGGACUCGCGGCUUAUCAGCUUGUUGGUGGGGUAGUGGCUGACCAAGGCUUUGACGGGUAGCCGACCUGAGAGGGUGACCGGCCACAUGGCGACUGAGAUACGGCCCAGACUCCUACGGGAGGCAACAGUGGGGAAUAUUGCACAAUGGGCGGAAGCCUGAUGCAGAAACGCCGCGUGCGGGAUGACGGCCUUCGGGUUGUAAACCGCUUUCGCCUGUGACGAAGCGUGAGUGACGGUAAUGGGUAAAGAAGCACCGGCUAACUACGUG